CUGGCAAGGGCUCCUGGAAACUGGGGAGCUGUGUCAUUUAUGUGGCUCCAACUUUGAAAGACUGUAGGAAGGAAGCUCACAGGUCUGUUGAAACAACCCAAAUCACAGGCAUGCUUACUGUCUCUUAAGGCUCAGUUUUGCAAUCUUAGGAAAAGCACAUGUCCUCUCUGGGCCUAGUUUCUUUGUAAACCGAGAAACCUGGAUGGGCUGUUGAGCCUCCUGCUGGCUCUCAGUCCGGCAGAAAGCAACAGACUUUGCCAGAGGAGGAGGGCACCUUCCGAAGUACCAGGCAAGUUUCCUGGGGUCUUGGAAUGCAGUGGUGUGAUCUUGGCUCACUGUCCCCCCAGGCUCAAGCCAUCCUUCCAUUUCAGCCUCGCGAGUAGCUGGGACUACAAGCAUGCAUCACCAUGCCCAGCUAAUUAUUUGUAGAGACAGUACAGUAUUUCACCACAUUGCCCAUGAAGGACUGGUCUUGAACUCCUAAGCUCAAGUGAUCUACCUUGGCCUCCCAAAGUGCUGGGAUCACAGGUUUACCCUCAUGUUCGCUGAUUUGAUUUGAUGCAAAAAAAAUCCAGAGCCUCAGGCCUCUGGUUUGGGAUGGCAUGGGAAACAGAAGAGAGGUACAGAUAUCUUAAGGGUGGUCUCUGAUGCUGAGGAGACCCCUCUCACCUGGAGCUGCUGACCAGCCCCAAGCACUGGGGUCCUGGUAGGCCUUAUGAUAAAUGAUGGCUGAAAAGACUGGGGGAAGCAUAGAGCUGAUGGAGGUGAAGGUGCUUUCCCAUGUCCUCCCUCCCCCAAAGACACAGGACAAGUGAAGAACCUCUUCAGACCACUGGUUAGUCUAUGAAUUCAAUUUCAGAUACACAAAAGCCUGGGUGAGGGGUGCUCCACAUAGAAAGAAAUGGAAGAGAUGCAGCUUUAAAAUACAGACGAUCAUUCAAAAAAAUUGUGACCAUUUGGGGUAUAAAGUUGGGUAUUAGUCAAUCAGCUAGAAUACAUGCUUCAGGAGGCCACAGAAUGGAGACGGAAUAAAACUAGAAAAAUGAUUGUUUUUGUGUCUAAAACUAAUGCACGACAGAGUCACAGCAGCAAUGCUAGGAGGAUGAGAUUCCUCAGCAAUGCCGGGAAGAUCUGAGAAAACCAGCAGGAGGAUGCCCACACUGGGAACAGAAAGCUCCAAGAUUGCUCCUUUCUCUUAAGAGAAAAUGACCUGCCUUGACUUCUGUUUCAAGACAGUCAACUAAUGCUGAACUAUAAAAACAAGGCUAACAAGAGACAGAAUAAAUACCAAAAAGCUCUCCGAGAUUCACUCCUGACAGUGAUAAUUAAAAACACAACCUAUGAGUUGUUAAAAAACCCCAAAAUAACAAGGAAUGCUUCUGAAAAAUAUGUACUUCAUCUAUUUAUUAUAACAAAGGAAAAUAAAAUGUGAAAAGUGAG
rnacentral:lncRNA from 1 species